UUUAUUCAUGAGAGACGCACAGAGAGAAAGACAGAGACACAGGCAGAGGGAGAAGCAGGCCCCAUGCAGGGAGCCUGACACACAGGACUCGAUCCCGGGUCUCCAGGAUCACACCCUGGGCCAAAGGCAGCGCUAAACCACUGAGCCACCCGGGCUGCCCUCUCUUGCCCCUUCUAAUCUAAUCUCUCUAGUAUAGAUCAAAUCAGAUCCCAUAGUGUCAACACAGUGAAGGAAGUUCAUACAUAAUAUGACCUCUGCCUACCUGUUCAACCUAUCUCCUACUCAUCCCCUUGUUCAUGAACUUCUCACAAUACAGUUUUCUUUCUUUCUGCUCUUCAAACAUAAUCCUUUUUUUAUCAGCUAUUCUCUCUCUCUGGAAUGCUUUCUUCAGAUCUUUGUAUGGCAGGCUCCUUGUCAUUCAGUUAUCUCUCCACCUAAGAGAGAGAGCAGGAGGUGGGGGACAGAGGGAGAGGGAGAGAAAGUCCCAAGCAGGCUCCCUGCCCAGCACGGAGCCUGACCUGGAGCUCGAUCUCAUGACCCUGAGAUCAUGACUUGAUCUGAAGUUAAGAAUUGGACACUUAACUGAGCCUCCAAGGCACCCCAUUCAGUAUCAAUUUAAAUGUCACUUCCUCAGAAGAUUCUUCACUGACUGCCCAUUCUUAAGAGACUUCCCCCUCGGUCAUUCCCUGUCACAUCAUCCUUUUUUAUUUUAGAUUUUUUCAUAUGUUUAUCACUUUUUUUUUUUUUUACACUAUUCCAUCUUAUUUAACUCUUCCCUUCUGGAUUCAAUUUCCUUCUUCCUGAAGGAUGUCUUUUUAGUAGCCUUUUCAAUAAGCUGUGUGGUAAAUUUAUUGUUGACUAAAAUCACCUUUAUUCUAUAAUUGGUAGGCAGUAUCUAUUGCCUCAAAAUUUAGCUCAAAAAUUUUUUUCUGAUCAAUUAGAAAACCUUAGCAAUGCCUAAGAAAAUAACUGUAACUCACUCAAAAUAACUAAUACUCCCAGCCAAAGUUAAGGAUCUCAUUUGCCCACAUAAUGGCCUUUUUUGGCUAACCUUUCUAGCAUCAUCAGCCCUGAACAUCAUGUUCCUAAUUAGCAAAUACCCCCAGCAUAUGUUUCUGCGUAUCAUGUAAGUCUGAUUUCUCUAGGACUCCCAGAAACAUCUCAAGAAUUCAACUAUGCCUCUGACUGCUGGGAUUUUGUCCAAACCUCUGCCAACUUCUGUUUUGGACAGACAGAUAAGAUUUGGCAUACCUUUGAUCCCUUAGGACUACCCUUCAUCUGUAUAAGCCCUCCCUUUAUCAUUCCAAGAUCUUUUUGAUCUUCUUAGAGUCCUUAGAACUAAGCUGUAUUCCUCAAUAACCCAGCAGUCAAUCCUAGGAGUCUUCUAAUCCACUUCAGGAUUCAAGGAUAUGGACCAAAAGUUGGAGAACUGUGGCCUACAAGUCACCUGUUCUCUAAAUGAAGUUUUAUUGGAAAACAGCCACACUCAUUCGUGUGUAUGUUGUCUAUGGCUACUUUUUGCACUUCUGAUAGCAAGGUUAGGUGCAGCAGACACCAUAUGGCCUAUACAGCCUAAAAUAUUUAUUAUGGACUCUUCCCAGAAAAAGUUGGCCAAGUCUCUGAACUAAGCUCAAAUAUCUGAUUGGCCUGUGGUUAUCAGGCAUGUUGGUGGCUGGUAUCCAUUCUAUCCAAACACUACACAGGUUUGCAAUUUGCUGAAGUACCCAGAGCCGGGGUCUCUUUAUGUACAUGUAUGUAUGUGCAUAUAGUAUGAAGAAAAGUAAGCACUUUUUAGACUGUGGUAGAAUGGAAUGUCUUUCUCUCUAUAAAGUUUAGUUAGAAACUUGACAUAUUUUUAAUGCUUAUGCUCCAGUUAUAUCUUAAUUUGCUUGAUCUCUACUAAGAGAAUCCUAUCAAAGUCAUCUUUUCAUGCUUAGGACCAGACUGGCCUCUGAAAAUCAAAUUCCUAUUUCUCAUAAAGAUUUAAAAAAAAAAUUGAAGACAGAAGCUGAAAGUAGCUGCUUGAUCUCCUGAUCACAUAUUCCUUCCUCUAAAGAAGCUUCUGGACUAUAAGCAUUUAUAAAGAUCACAUCUGCAUUUGCUGACACACUGUUCCUAAAGUUAGAUUGAAUUCAUAAAGCCCUUACUAUUGAAAUUUUAAAUAAUCAUGUUUUACAAAGAGCUGAUAAAUCUCUUUGUCCUAAUCACAGAAUGAUGCAGAAUGGUUGUGUUUGUGCGCACCAUGAUGGGGUGGUCUUCAGACAGCUUUACAUCCCUUUCCCUUAUAGAAGAUGAUAAAACUCCAGAGAAGUAAGCCACUUGCUGAGAGUCUCAUAAUGAAUAUAUUCCAAAGUGAAUAUUCCAGCUGAGACUUCCCCCACCUUUGGGGUCAGUUUUGUUUCCUUGUUCGCCUAAUGUAUCUGAAGUUAAACUCCAGGAUCUUACUAUAUAAUUCUUAAAACACUUUCACCCACAUUAUCUCAGUUGUCCCAAUAUCUAUGACAGUGCAUCCUUCCUAUUUUAUAGGGCACAGAGAAACGAAGGCUCAUCAACAUUCCCAGCGCUGCUAUGCCAGGAGGUUGCAGAGCCAGACUUUGACUUCAGAGGUGUUUGGCCCCUAAGUGGUUUUUUUUUUUUUUUCUUCACUCUUGCUGGUGAUUGCUGAGCCUGCCAUGUCUUUUAUAAAGUCGGCCUGAAUGCAAGAAGGUGGUACGUCUGUGACCAGUAAGGGAUAGGUACUGAUUCAUUGAGCUGUCAAGCAGCUUUAAGGUACUCAACAUUGGCAUAGUUGAACAUAGUUGUUCAUUCUCUUCAGAGCACUUUAUAUGAAUUUCCUAAUUAAUACAUACUCCUAUAAAUGUCACUAUACUCAUUUUAUAGAUGGAUGGGAGGCAGGGGCAGAGUAGCCGUGGUGGCAGUGCUGCGAUGAAAUUCGGGUUUCUAAUUUCCAGGCCUGUAUUCAGACCUCUAGGCCACAGUUUCAGCCAGUAAUUAUUUAGCAUAACUGCAGUACAGUAUUGAUUAGAGUUAUCAGGUAAUAUUUAAAGGUUUAAUUCCAGCACAAGCAGUUGGUUCUUAUAUGGUGCUUCUAUAAUGGUGAUUUGUUAGCAGCAGGGAGAAAGGCUUGCCAAAAAACACAACACGAGGACAGCAGUGCACGCCGAUCAGCUCCCCACCCCCACUCCUUUCUGUGCUGCUGGCACAUGGAUGGAGCUCCAGUCUGCAUCAGGGAGAUGUCCUGCUCCACAUUGGAACCUGUCCUGACCCCAUUCUCCAUAGUGGUACAGGACAAAGUUUUACUGGGAGGAGUGUGGAUCCAGAUCCUUAAGUGACAUCCUCGGGUGCUUUGCUGUUUAGAUCCCACCUGAUUCGAUUCAUUCAAUAGCUAUUUACUGAGUGUUUGCUGUAAUUCUCAGUCUCUUUGUAUGAGUCUACUCAGGUUACCAUA
rnacentral:lncRNA from 1 species